GACUCGUGCAACUUGUCUCGCAACGCCAUUGCGAGACAAGUUGCAUGAAAAAUUGCACCGUGUAACAGGGCCUUUAAAGGUCUCCUUUUUUUAUACACCGUGUAUAUCCACUUAUCCAGCUAUCCGUAUACUGGGUGUCCCAAAAAAACCCCACGAAAACCAUUGAAAUCACUUAUUGUUAAAAUUGAAUGCUAUAUCAAAAAGCUGAACGUAAUGAUGCGUAAAAUAUUGACAAGGUGCAUGUAUUAAAAUUUAGUUAAGACAUCUCCUUGUAAAGUUUGCGAUUUUCUGCUCUUGGGAAUUUAAAGCAGCUUCCUAAAUAGUUUCUUUGUGCAUAAAAUUUACUCAUGUAAAUCAUUUAUGCACUCGUGGGAACCAAUAGAGUGCUUAUAGGCAUUCAAAUUCUAACAAUUAAAUUGUUAUUGGUGAUUUCAAUAGUUUUCGUUUUUUUGGGACACCCUGUAUAUCUACAGUAUCUGCA